UACAGAGGGUGCGAGCGUUAAUCGGAAUUACUGGGCGUAAAGCGUGCGUAGACGGUUAUUUAAGUCGGGUGUGAAAGCCCCCGGGCUCAACCUGGGAAUUGCAUUCGAGACUGAAUAGCUAGGGUACGGUAGAGGGAAGUGGAAUUUCCGGUGUAGCGGGUGAAAAUGCGUAGAUAUCGGAAGGAACAUCAGUGGCGAAAAGCGACUUCCUGGACCAGUACCG
rnacentral:rRNA from 1 species